CGGGGUAUAGCGCAGCCUGGUAGCGCACCUGCUUUGGGAGCAGGGUGUCGGGGGUUCGAAUCCCUCUACCCCGA
rfam:Candidatus Muproteobacteria bacterium RBG_16_64_11 RBG_16_scaffold_6778, whole genome shotgun sequence.